AACGAACGCUGGCGGCAGGCCUAACACAUGCAAGUCGAGCGCCCCGCAAGGGGAGCGGCGGACGGGUGAGUAACGCGUGGGAAUUUUCCUCAAGGUACGGAACAACUCAGGGAAACUUGAGCUAAUACCGCAUAAUGUCGAGAGACCAAAGAUUUAUCGUCUAAAGAUGAGCCCGCGUUAGAUUAGUUUGUUGGUGGGGUAAUGGCCUACCAAGACUACGAUCUAUAGCUGGUUUGAGAAGAUGACCAGCCACAUUGGGACUGAGACACGGCCCAAACUCCUACGGGAGGCAGCAGUGGGGAAUAUUGGGCAAUGGGCGAAAGCCUGACCCAGCCAUGCCGCGUGAGUGAUGAAGGCCUUAGGGUUGUAAAGCUCUUUCAGGGGGGAAGAUAAUGACGGUACCCCCAGAAGAAGCUCCGGCUAACUUCGUGCCAGCAGCCGCAGUAA
rnacentral:rRNA from 1 species